UACUGGAAACGGUAGCUAAUACCGCAUAACGUCGCAAGACCAAAGAGGGGGACCUUCGGGCCUCUUGCCAUCGGAUGUGCCCAGAUGGGAUUAGCUUGUUGGUGGGGUAACGGCUCACCAAGGCGACGAUCCCUAGCUGGUCUGAGAGGAUGACCAGCCACACUGGAACUGAGACACGGUCCAGACUCCUACGGGAGGCAGCAGUGGGGAAUAUUGCACAAUGGGCGCAAGCCUGAUCAGCCAUGCCGCGUGUAUGAAGAAGGCCUUCGGGUUGUAAAGUACUUUCAGCGGGGAGGAAGGGAGUAAAGUUAAUACCUUUGCUCAUUGACGUUACCCGCAGAAGAAGCACCGGCUAACUCCGUGCCAGCAGCCGCGGUAAUACGGAGGGUCAAGCGUUAAUCGGAAUUACUGGGCGUAAAGCGCACGCAGGCGGUUUGUUAAGUCAGAUGUGAAAUCCCCGGGCUCAACCUGGGAACUGCAUCUGAUACUGCAAGCUUGAGUCUCGUAGAGGGGGGUAGAAUUCCAGGUGUAGCGGUGAAAUGCGUAGAGAUCUGGAGGAAUACCCGGUGGCGAAGGCGGCCCCCUGGAUCGAAGACC
rnacentral:rRNA from 1 species